ensembl:misc_RNA Metazoa_SRP Metazoan signal recognition particle RNA
GCUGGGCGCAGUGGCUCAUGCCUGUAAUCCCAGCAUUUUGGAGGCCAAGGUGGGAGGAUUGCUUGAGCCCAGGAGUUCAAGACCAACCUGGGCAACAUAGCAAUACCCCAUCUUAA